UGUAUGUUGGGGGGUAUUAACCCUGCUAGAGGUGAAUAGUGAUUUAUUCUUGCUACUAAUUUCUUUUUUCUAAAUUUUUGUUUUAGUUCACAUGCCUUCCGGGUACCUGCCUUGACGUCACUCCACCUCACAUAUUGUAUUCCGAUUAUAUAUUCCUGAGGAAACAGCAACCAAAUAUUCGGCUACUACUAAUCUUUACUUCUUGUUCUUUGGCCUCUCAUUCUACAUCUUACUGUGAAACAGAUAUCGGUCCAUACACACCGAGGAAAUCUUGGUCCACAUAUGCUGAUGCCAGAACGGUCCCGGUUCAUAUACACCGCUUGUUACUACUAUGGUCGGUUGCCAAGGACAACCCCGAAUUUUGGAGCCUAAGUCCAAGUAUCAGGGACUGUAUUCCCUCUGAUUUACUUACUUUCCUUUUUUCUGCUGCCUUUACAUACUACGGCCGGUUGCUAGGGGCAACCACAAGGUAUGGAACCCCAGCCCUAGCAACAGUGACCGCACUUCCCUUUGUUUACUUACCUGCUCUGUGUAUGCUGUGUUUACUUUCAGCCCUCACUAGACCUUUUGCUGUCCCCCAGGAAUGGAUACAUUAUGCCUUUAUUUAAUAUUAUUCAAUCAAGCUAUAUACACCCUGUGAUCUAUACAGCGAUAUUGAUAUGGCCUCAUUUUUCGCAUGGGGAUAAUCCUCACUGACAGGAUAUGAACUUAUCUGAGCAUGCGCAAGCCACGUCUAAGUCCGGAGUCGGGUUGCCAUGGAUGCGAGGACGCGCUCCUGGUGUUACGCUCCACCCGAACCCGGAAAUGCUUCUACUCCUCAGCGAUGCGCACAUCACGUCCGGCGCAUUGGCGCCUGUGACCGGGAUACAUCGCGGCAGGACCCCGGAAGGCAUUCACAUCUCGUCACGGAUUUACAGAUCACUACCAGUGCACUUUGAUGUAUUAUGCUUAAAUACCGGUAAUUCUAUAUUAGAUGAUGAUCUGAUGUCCUUUUAUUUGUAUUUAACACUAUAGAUGAUGAUUUAUAUUAUUUAUAUUAUUGUUUGCACAAUGCUUUCUGAUGACCUCUUUAUUUACAUAUGUCAAUCAUGUAUUACCUUUGUCACAUGACCUAGUGGGCGGUCUAUAAAUACCCACCAGUAUCACUAUGAUUCACUUGAAAAAGCCAGCGUGAGGCUGGUGAAACGUUGUCUAUGCACAUGAUGGAAUAAAACCACCUUUUUUUCGCAACCUGUGGAGUGCUGCAUCAUAUUUGCUAUUGUCUGGAUUAAGGAACCGGUGGACCCAGGUUCCAGCUAUGCGGGCACCCCUCAUCUCACUUUUCUUCUGGAUUUUGGUUGUGCCGUUUUUAUUCACAUUAGAUAGAUAGAUAGAUAGAUAGAUA